rnacentral:tRNA from 1 species
GUGCCCAUAGCUCAGCCGGAUAGAGCAACGGCCUUCUAAGCCGUAGGUCGCGCGUUCGAGUCGCGCUGGGCGCACCA